UAGAGUUUGAUCAUGGCUCAGGACGAACGCUGGCGGCGUGCCUAAUACAUGCAAGUAGAACGCUGAAGGAGGAGCUUGCUUCUCUGGAUGAGUUGCGAACGGGUGAGUAACGCGUAGGUAACCUGCCUGGUAGCGGGGGAUAACUAUUGGAAACGAUAGCUAAUACCGCAUAAGAGUAGAUGUUGCAUGACAUUUGCUUAAAAGGUGCAAUUGCAUCACUACCAGAUGGACCUGCGUUGUAUUAGCUAGUUGGUGAGGUAACGGCUCACCAAGGCAACGAUACAUAGCCGACCUGAGAGGGUGAUCGGCCACACUGGGACUGAGACACGNCCCAGACUCCUACGGGAGGCAGCAGUAGGGAAUCUUCGGCAAUGGACGGAAGUCUGACCGAGCAACGCCGCGUGAGUNAAGAAGGUUUUCGGAUCGUAAAGCUCUGUUGUAAGAGAAGANCGAGUGUGAGAGUGGAANGUUCACACUGUGACGGUAUCUUACAGAAAGGGACGGCUAACUACGUGCCAGCNGCCGGGGUAAUACGUAGNUCCCAGCGUUGUCCGAUUNUUGGCNNNAACGAGCCNGGGGUUUNANAGUUGAGUNAAGCUGGNCCACCAUAUUCCUUGAACUGUAANUGAGG
rnacentral:rRNA from 1 species